CCGUAGCCCAAGAGAUCGGGAUUAACACCUGGAAACAGAUGCUAAUACCGGAUAACAACAGAUGAUGCCUAUCAACUGUUUAAAAGAUGGUUCUGCUAUCACUCUUGGAUGGACCUGCGGUGCAUUAGCUAGUUGGUAGGGUAACGGCCUACCAAGGCGAUGAUGCAUAGCCGAGUUGAGAGACUGAUCGGCCACAUUGGGACUGAGACACGGCCCAAACUCCUACGGGAGGCAGCAGCC
rnacentral:rRNA from 1 species